rnacentral:rRNA from 1 species
UACGUAGGGGGCAAGCGUUGUCCGGAAUCAUUGGGCGUAAAGCGCGUGUAGGCGGCCCGAUUAGUCCGCUGUGAAAGUCCAGGGCUCAACCCUGGGAUGCCGGUGGAUACUGUCGGGCUCGAGUCCGGAAGAGGUGAGUGGAAUUCCUAGUGUAGAGGUGAAAUUCGUAGAUAUUAGGAAGAACACCAGUGGCGAAGGCAGCACUCUGGGACGGUACUGACGCUGAGACGCGAAAGCGUGGGGAGCGAACAGG